CAGAGUACGUGAAACUGCUUAGAGGUUAAACCCGAUGAACCUGAAUAUUCAUUAUGGGAAAUUCAUCAUUAUGAUUUUAAUAUUUGUAAUAUUAUAAUAAUGGUGUGCAUUUUUCCUAUAAAGGACAUUGUAAUCUAUUAACAAUAAUAUAUUUAUCAUAAGAUCAUUUGCGCUAGUUUAUUCAAAUUAAAUUGCUUGCAUUUUAGUGUCGAAUAAAUGCUUUUGAUUUGAUAAAGUGUUGAUAGAUUUAUUAUUAUAUAAUGCUUAAAUAUUUUAUAUAUUUUAUAAUAGCAUAUCAAUCAAUGAUUUGUAUGUUUAUUAUAUGCACUUAUAUGAUUAACAAUGCGAAAGAUUCAGGAUACCUUCGGGACCCGUCUUGAAACACGGACCAAGGAGUCUAACAUAUUUGCAAGUUAUUGGGACCAUAAAACCUAAUAGCAAAAUUAACAUAACUUAUAUGGGAUUAAUUUUUAAACUAUUUUAUAGUCUAUUAAUUCAAUCCCGGGGCGUUCUAUACAGUUAUGUAUAAUAAUAUUUAUAUUAUUUAUACCUCUAACUAGAGCGUACCUUGAGCAUAUAUGCUGUGACCGAA
rnacentral:rRNA from 1 species